GUCCUUCGGGGACAACUUAGUGGCAACGGGUGAGUAACGCGUGAGGAACCUGCCUUUCAGUGGGGGACAACAGUUGGAAACGACUUGCUAAUACCGCAUAAAUGUUGUCGGAUGGCAUCAUCUGGCAACCAAAGCUUUANGUGCUGAAAGAUGGCCUCGCGUCUGAUUAGAUAGUUGGUGAGGUAACGGCUCACCAAGUCGACGAUCAGUAGCCGGUCUGAGAGGAUGAACGGCCACAUUGGGACUGAGAUACGGCCCAGACUCCUACGGGAGGCAGCAGUGGGGAAUAUUGGGCAAUGGAGGCAACUCUGACCCAGCCAUGCCGCGUGAAGGAUGGAGGCCCUACGGGUCGUAAACUUCUUUUGUCAGGGAAUAAAGUCACCUACGUGUAGGUGUUUGCAGGUACCUGAAGAAUAAGCAUCGGCUAACUCCGUG
rnacentral:rRNA from 1 species